UUAUUGCGAUAAUGAUGAUGAUGAUGAUGAUGAUGAUGAUGAUGAUCAUCAUCAUCAUCAUCAUCAUCAUCAUCAUCAUCAUCAUAG
rnacentral:pre_miRNA from 1 species